rfam:Trichobilharzia regenti genome assembly, scaffold: TRE_scaffold0130744
UGACGAGUCCCAAAUAGGACGAAAUGCGCAUCCUGGAU